UUCCGGUUGAUCCCGCCGGACCUGACUGCUAUCGGAUUGAUACUAAGCCAUGCUAGUCUUUGUAGUAAUACAAGGCAUACGGCUCAGUAACGCGUAGUCAACCUACCCUAUGGACGGGGAUAAUCUCGGGAAACUGAGCAUAAUACCCGGCAGACCACUUAUCCUGGAAUGGUUAGUGGUUAAAAUGAUUCGUCGCCAUAGGAUGGGACUGCGGCCUAUCAGCUUGUUGGUGAGGUAAUGGCCCACCAAGGCGAUUACAGGUACGGGCUCUGAGAGGAGAGGCCCGGAGAUGGGUACUGAGACAAGGACCCAGGCCCUAUGGGGCGCAGCAGGCGAGAAAACUUUGCAAUGUGCGAAAGCACGACAAGGUUAAUCCGAGUGAUUUCUGCUAAAGGAAUCUUUUGUUAGUUCUAAAAAUACUAGUGAAUAAGGGGUGGGCAAGUUCUGGUGUCAGCCGCCGCGGUAAAACCAGCACCUCAAGUGGUCAGGAGGAUUAUUGGGCCUAAAGCAUCCGUAGCCUGUUCUAUAAGUUUGCGGUUAAAUCUAUACGCUCAACGUAUAGGCUGCCGUAAAUACUGUAGAACUAGGGAGUGGGAGAGGUAGACGGUACUCGAUAGGAAGGGGUAAAAUCCUUUGAUCUAUUGAUGACCACCUGUGGCGAAGGCGGUCUACCAGAACACGUUCGACGGUGAGGGAUGAAAGCUGGGGGAGCAAACCGGAUUAGAUACCCGGGUAGUCCCAGCUGUAAACGAUGCAGACUCGAUGAUGCAUUGGCAUAUAGCCAGUGCAGUGUCGCAGGGAAGCCGUUAAGUCUGCCGCCUGGGAAGUACGUACGCAAGUAUGAAACUUAAAGGAAUUGGCGGGGGAGCACCACAAGGGGUGAAGCCUGCGGUUCAAUUGGAGUCAACGCCGGG
rnacentral:rRNA from 1 species